AAACUCUCUUAACGAGCGAAGCCACAUAAAAAGGCUGACGUAGUGUACAUCAUUUAAAAAUAAAAAUCCGGAUAUAUGCGAGCUAAAUCACACAAAAUUAAAAUAUAGUAGAAAAAAUAAUAAAGUUUUCUAUAAAUCAACCACUUAAAACUUACGAAUGAAAGGCUAUUGCAGCCAUAAAUAAUACCAAAAAAAAGCCUCACCUCUUUAGAGGUAAGGCUUUAUGCUUAUUUUU
rnacentral:misc_RNA from 1 species